UCAUUGGCUUCAUCUCCAGAAAGCCAAGAAAUUCUCAACAUGUUGGGAGCAUCUCUCCUUGUCCUUCUGGGCAUCUGGUGCACAGGAUCCAGGUCUCAGCCUACACUGAUUCAGGAAUCCUCCGUGUCACCUUCCCCUGGACAGACAGUUAAACUCUCCUGUUCCCUCAGCAGUGGACAAGUACAAUCUUAUUACCAAUCGUGGCAUCAACAGAAAGAAGGAGGUCCUCCCAGAUUCCUUUAUGGUUACUACAACAGUGCAGCUCCAGGCUCUGGAGAUCUCAGCCGCUUCUCUGCCUCCAAGGAGAGCAGCCAAAAUAAAUGGUAUUUGACCAUCAGCAACGUCCAGCCAGAAGACGAGGCUGCUUAUUACUGUGCUGUGUGGUAUCACCCAAGUACAGGGUUCCACAGUCCAGGCAAAAGCCUCAAGGAAGGAGAAGCUUCUGAGGUUCUCACCAUGCUUUCGGCCCCUCUUCUUUUCACCCUCCUCACCUACUGCUCAGGUGCCUUCGCCCAGUAUCUCCUGACCCAGCCGCCCUCCGUCUCUGUGUCCCUGGGGCAAAAUGCAAGAGUCACUUGUGCAGGAAACAACAUUGGAGGAAAGAGUGUUCAGUGGUACCAGCAGAAGCCUGGGAGUCCCCCUGUCCUGAUUAUAUAUGCUGAUAGCCAGAGAUAG